GCUGGCUGCAACUGUUUAUUAAAAACACAGCACUCUGCAAACACGAAAGUGGACGUAUAGGGUGUGAUGCCUGCCCGGUGCUGGAAGGUUAAUUGAUGGUGUAAUCGCAAGAGAAGCACCUGAUCGAAGCCCCAGUAAACGGCGGCCGUAACUAUAACGGUCCUAAGGUAGCGAAAUUCCUUGUCGGGUAAGUUCCGACCUGCACGAAUGGCAUAAUGAUGGCCAGGCUGUCUCCACCCGAGACUCAGUGAAAUUGAAAUCGCCGUGAAGAUGCGGUGUACCCGCGGCUAGACGGAAAGACCCCGUGAACCUUUACUAUAGCUUGACACUGAACAUUGAAUUUUGAUGUGUAGGAUAGGUGGGAGCCUUUGAAGCAGUGACGCCAGUCAUUGUGGAGGCGAGCUUGAAAUACCACCCUUUAACGUUUGAUGUUCUAACGAAGAUGACGAAACGUGGUCUCGGACAGUGUCUGGUGGGUAGUUUGACUGGGGCGGUCUCCUCCCAAAGCGUAACGGAGGAGCACGAAGGUUUGCUAAUCACGGUCGGACAUCGUGAGGUUAGUGCAAUGGUAUAAGCAAGCUUAACUGCGAGACAGACAAGUCGAGCAGGUACGAAAGUAGGUCAUAGUGAUCCGGUGGUUCUGAAUGGAAGGGCCAUCGCUCAACGGAUAAAAGGUACUCCGGGGAUAACAGGCUGAUACCGCCCAAGAGUUCAUAUCGACGGCGGUGUUUGGCACCUCGAUGUCGGCUCAUCACAUCCUGGGGCUGAAGUAGGUCCCAAGGGUAUGGCUGUUCGCCAUUUAAAGUGGUACGCGAGCUGGGUUUAGAACGUCGUGAGACAGUUCGGUCCCUAUCUGCCGUGGGCGUAGGAGAAUUGGUUGGGGCUGCUCCUAGUACGAGAGGACCGGAGUGGACGCACCACUGGUGUUCCGGUUGUGUCGCCAGACGCAUUGCCGGGUAGCUAAGUGCGGAAGAGAUAAGUGCUGAAAGCAUCUAAGCACGAAACUUGCCAAGAGAUGAGUUCUCCCAAUCUAAGAGAUAGUAAGGGUUGUUGUAGACUACGACGUAGAUAGGUCUGGUGU
rnacentral:rRNA from 1 species